ACGCAAUAUCAUUGUCAGCCAUUCUGAUACACGACAGUAUAAGGUAAUAUAUUGUAACACCUUGUAAACAAAACUAGCGUUUUACUUCAUUGUGGUUUUCUUUAUUAAACCUAAAUAUCGGAACAUUUUUAAAUAGAAAACAAUUUAAUUCUUAAAUAACUUCAUAUGAAUACCGGAAACAUAUCAUAUUUAAUAAUUGAAGAAAUUGAUCCCUAUUGUGUAGAGUUAAAAAACAGAAUUGCAGUUUCCGUUUUGUUAGCAAAAGUUAUAUAUAAUUCUAACAUGACGUCCUUCAAACGCUUUGAGUACACACCCGUGGUAAAAUAUGAAUAUAUUGAUAGGGCUGUUCCUAUUGUACUCCCACGUCAUAUGUAUUUUUAUUGAAUGACCUACCCAACGUCAUAGAACAACGACGUCAGAACAUAAGCAUUUUAAUACGGGAAAAUACACGCUUGUGAAACCGAAAAUCAUCACAACUAGAAAACGUAAACAAACGAUGCUAAAAUGUGAUAUAAGCCAACUUUUAAAAAAUAUAUAAGACAUAUAAGUAAAUUAUCAUUAAAUUCACCCAAAAUUAUCUAAAAACAUUAUUGUAAAUAGUUUAGCAUGUCACUAAUUCAGUUUGUUCCGUUCUUUUACGCCAAUUAAAUGGUGCGUUUAUUUAUGGGAACGGCAAAUGUCAGCAUCUACCUAGAGCGCUUUGAUCCAAAAGAAUUGCCGUAUUUGUCCUAUCAGAAUCGAAAUAAUUCAUGGGGGCUUGAAUAUAUCUAGAUUUUACCACGGGUUGUCCCUUUAUGCCGAUAUUUUACCCCUCGCUAUCGCUCAGGGUAAAAUAUUUGUCAUAAAGGGCCAACCCGUGGUAAAAUCACGAUAUAUUCAAGCCCCCAUGAAUUAUUUCUUAAACAUCUAUAAGCUGAGAAUAAUCGAUCAUAGUUCAUAUUGGCGGGCGAAUAAUACUAAGGAAGACAAUCACCUCCGUAAAAUCUCAAACAUAUGAGAUAAAUCAUGAGGACAAUGUAAACCCCAUAUGCCCAAAAGACACAAAUACGGACAAACAAACACAAAUUCAGCAACAAAUGUUAAAAAGACUCCUCAAUUUGAAUUACAAAUAACCGACCUUCAUAUGCGGAAAGCUUUUAGUGAAUAAUUGAAAACAUUUUGUUACAUAAUUUCUAAACAUUAUUGGAAUUACGUUUUUGUUUUAAUUUUUUUAGUUUACAACUCUAUGACCAAUACUUAUUGAGGAGAUCGAAUAUGAAAGUGAUUAACAAUAUGUAAGCAUAUUAAUUAAAUUGAUAAUGAUUCAAGCGAGAGAGAGAGAGAGAGAGAGAGAGAGAGAGAGAGAGAGAGAGAGAGAGAGAGAGAGAGAAAAUAAUAUUGAGUUUGUUAUAAGUUUAAAAAACUAUGCUAUUUACAAGUACCCAUCCACGUCCACUUAUAUUUUUGUCCAUCUGAUGAGUUCAGCCUUUUUCAAUUUAUUUUUAUAGUUCGUUCUUAUGUUGUACUGUUAUACCACUGUCCCAGGUAAGGGGAGGGUUGGGAUUCCGCUAACCCCGUUUACCCCGCCCAUUAUGUAUGUAUGUGCCUGUCCCAAGUCAGGAGCCUGUAAUUCAGUGGUUGUCGUUUGUUUAUGUGUUACAUAUUUGUUUUUGUCCUUUUUUUAUAUAAAUAAGGCCGUUAGUUUUCUGGUUUGAAUUGUUUUACAUUGUCGUUUCGGGGCCUUUUAUCGCUGUCUAUGCGGUAUUGGCUGAUCUAUAGAAUAGUUGUUCAUUUCGGUGUCAUUGUGGGCUCUUUUGCAAUUAUACCACAUCUUCUUUUUUAAAUUUAUUAAUAUUUUUCAUAAAGUUUGAGUGAAACAGAAUGUUCACUAUCUAUCUAUCGAUAUAUCUUUAUGAUAUUAUAUAAUAGCAAUAUUGUAUUUGCUUAUUUAUAAAAAACCCAAACAAAUUAAGGUGACUCGAUUGUUACUCAAACUGUCUUUACUAUGUAACAUGUGAACGCUUAAUCAUGUGAAAUAUCAAUUAUUCAGUCAUUGCCUGUACGAGUGGAAAUCUUUACCACUCACUCUGUGAAAUGAAGAUGGUUUUGUGAAAGCUCAUUCUUAUCUUAGGUGCAUGCGUUAGAGCUAUUUUUCUAAUGAUUGUAGUUAAAAACUUUGAUUUGCUUGUUUGCGUCGUUCGUUUAAAUUGCUCAAUCUUAAUUGCAAUGCUUAAGCAAGUAUGCAUACAACCAUAGUAAGACGACAACCCUAUCGUUAAACAACAAACAUAAAGAAAAUAGAUUUUUGUAAUGACGUUUUAUUAGCAUGUAAUGUAGAUUUAGACCGAAACAAUAAACAUUCCUUUUAGUGACGUGUAUAGGCUUAAUUGUUUAAAAUAUCUCAUUUUAGUGAAGGUGAUUCAUAAGAAAGAAGAGAUUUUAUCCUAAAUAUUGAAAUGAGCAUAUUAUUAGAAAAAAUAAUAUUGGCUAUAUUAGCGAUAAAUGUUAUAGGGAACUUAUUGGUAAAUGGCCACAGACUUUCACUCAGAAAGUAUGAAUUUAUUAUAGAUUUUUCUGACUUUAUAUUUUGUAAAAAGAGUCGCCUGAAUUAAGACUUUAUAUGAUGAACAUUAAGUAUCUUCUUUUGCGAAAAUGCAUCGUAUAUACAAAAGAAAUGAAUUGCCCCAUCACUGUAAAUUUGUUGGUUUCUCAACGCGACAGCUAAACGAUUUCGUGAUCUUUGCUCUUCGAAUUCCUGUAUAGUCUUAUCUGUAACUGUUACCGAUUGUGUUCUAUUCCCGAAUGUGAUAUGUUUUUGCUACUGUUAGUAAAGCCCCCCCCCCCCCCGAGGAUAUCACUAGACCAGUAGUCAGCACUUCUGUUUUACAUGAAUUGUCAUCGAUAACUAUUGAUUAGCUGUUUACAAAACUUUUCCGAAAUAUCAAUACUUUCUACCCAAGGAAUAAAUUAAAUUAGCUGUAUUUGGCUAAACGUUAAGUUGUUUCGGAUCCCUACUUAUUUAAUUUCGUGCUUUAUGAUGCCAUUUUUCCAAAUUCAAUGGUGAGUCUUUUGUAUACCAAACAUGCGUCUGGUGUACAAAACUGCAAUCUUUGUAUCUAUAACGAGUUUAUCUAAAUAUAAAAAUAAUUAAGAUUUCCGAUGCAUAAAUUAUCUUAUACAAAAAAGCUCCCCACUUAAGUUUAGUCUAUCAAUAAAACAAAUAGCAUUUUCACAAAUUAACUGUUAACGAAUAACAUGUUAGACAGAUAGUUAUGGUUAUGUUCUGAUUGUAAGACAAGCUCGUCCUCUUUUUCUUAAAUAUCACUAUCACAUUAGACUCAUACCGGAUUUUACCGAAAUAAAAGUAAAAUAGGUGUCAAGUGUGAAAUAGAGUCUGCUUUCACCACAAAUCAUUUGGCAAUGUUUUUCAGACUUUAGCUUUCUCUGUUUCGUUGUUAUGUAUUUUUUAUCUUAUUGUUUAUCUUUUGGUGUAUUUUUUCGUUUCUUUUCGAUUUAGGAGUCUCAAUACUAAGUAUUUCUGAGUUAUCUGCCGCCUCUCUUUGACUUUAAUUAUAUUGUCUAUUUUCAUCACUAUUAUGUCGUCUGUAUUCAUCUCAAAGAAAAAUAAGAAGAAAGAAGCAUUGUACAUGUAAUUUUUAGCAUUGCUGGAAAGCAUUUAUAACAUGAAUAAUAAGUAUUAUUUCAUGUUAAAUGAACAAUCUUGACCUAAUAUAUCAUAUGUGGAUGCAUUUUUAUUUAACUGUUUUAACAGAACAUUUUCCUGCAUCUAAAUAAAUUUGUGAUUAAUGCAAUUUACAGUUUGGAAAAGAGUUUUAAAAUACUAAGAUAGGCAUGUAUUAUUAACUUACCAAACAGAUAUGCAGAUAUUUACCAGUAUUGAAUUGACUGCGAACAAAAUGUUUAAAUAGUAAUGAAUUAACCACAUUGAAUCAAUUUGUAAAUUGACUGAUGGUUAAUUAAGAAUUGAAGUUUUCUUUUUAUAAAUUUAUUAGGGUGUAGAAACGUUGACCGAAGUAUAUUUUGAAUAAAACUCGGAAGCGCCUCAUUCUAAAAGUAAAGGCACAAUCAACGCUUAUACAACCAUAUUAAAUCAUAAACAGAAGCAUUCAAUGCUAAUAAUUACAUUUUAUUGCUAGAAUAGUUCAAACAAAAAAAAUUUGAAGAUUCUUUUAUAUUUACCUGUGCAUUUAAUUCAAAAGCUCGUUUCAUCAUGAAUGGUACUCACAUUUUACAAUGAAUGUUGAUUUCAAAAGGAUGCGAGACUGCUGUUUGCCAAUCAAAAUAAAUGUAUUAUAAUGAAACAUACAUGUAAUGUAUUAUAUCAAAAUGACCAUUUCAGACUAACAUUAAUUCAUUAGUGGCCAUGAUAAAAAAAACUCUUCGAAUUGCCAUUAAAGUAAUAUAUCAAUCUAUAUUAAAAAUGGAACUCUAAACAAAAACACACUUGUUUGCCUGAGACUGAAUAAUUGCUUGAAAAGCCGAAAAAGAUAUACGCUGAAAUGCACCACAUUUAUAGCUGCCACACAAUGCAAAUAACGAAAAUCACACAAGUCAGCUGUCUAUGCAAUAUGAUGAACUCUAUUAUAAUGAUUUCUUCAUUUAUAAAUAAGAAUUCCAUUUUUGUGUUAUCAUUUAAUACUAUCAUGUACUGGGUAGUAAACACAAAAACAAUGAUUAGACUCCCUAGGCAAAGCUGAUAAAACAGUUAUGUGUGAUAACAUAUAAAACGUUUUAGAUAAUGCUUUUGUUUAUGAUACUUGAAGUGCAAUAAGUAUAUUUAGUUUCAAUAUAUGGGCUUAAGUGUUUCACCCUCGUGAUGCAAUAUAAAAUAUGUAUGCUAAUAGACUCUUCGGUAAGCAAGUAAAGUGACCGAACUACUUUCCCAAAAAAAGCAAAAGGUUUAGUUGCACGAAAUUAAUGAAGUGAUUUCUUGAAUGAAACGAGAGGUUGACUCUUUCUUGGAGGUGGGAUAAUCAGACAGGAACAUUCAGUUGGUGUCAGUUUGUUGAUUUGGUUCAAAAGAUAUUUGAUUCCCGUUUUUAAAUAGAUUAUACUUAUGGUUUUUCUCUUUUAACAGUUUUACAAUAAUAAUUUGAGUAACCCUUUAUAGCUUGCUGUUCGGUGUUUACAAAUGACUCUGUGUUGGAGACCGUACUUUUAUAAUGAUAAACUUUUUACAAAUUGUGACUUGAACGGAGAGUUGUCUCAUUGGCACAUCCUUUUAUAUAUGAAUAAUUUAAUUGUGGAUGUUACGCGUCUUCUAAUUGGCUGACAUUAUUUUGUUAUCAGACCAGGGAUGGGGUCGAUUACUUUAAAAUGUAAUCGAUUAAAUUACAAUUACUUUGCAUAUAAAAUGUAAUCGAUUACAUUACAAUUACACCCUAUUUCAUAAGUAAUCGAUUACAUUAGAUUACUUUUCUUGAAAGUAAUCAUGAUUACUUUAGAUUACUUAUGAUUACAUUGUAUAUUGCAAUAUCAAAGUCUUUUUUAUAACUUUUUAUCCUCACAAAAAGCUAAUUUUGGUGAUCUUUUUAAAAGCCUUAAUUUAUUUAUCUUAUUUAAAAGAAUUUAUAGACAAGUACAGUGUAACAUGUGUAACUUCAUAAAAUAGCUAUAGACAAAUGUCCUUUCUCUAUGUAAAAAAAUAACUUUAUUUUUUUCUACAAAUUUUAACCAACUGCCUAAUUAACAAAAAACCUGAACAAAUAAGGAAAAAUUAAUUAAGAAUAGUUGCAUUGUCUGUUGAGACAUAAUUGACACAUCCAUUAAUGUUUUACAGGUGUUAAUCACUACUUCCAUUUUUUUUAACAAACAAUAGGUGAGCUUGGGUAUUAAAAUUUUAUUGUCUUAAUAACAAUAUCAAUAAAGUUAAAAGUGGUUGAUUGUCUUAUUUUUUUGAAAAUUUUUAAUACUUGAUCUAAUUAAUAAUUAAUAGAAUAAUUGUCAGGUGAAAACACAAAACAGCUUUGUAUCUUAGGAAAGUAUAUACAUUUCUCUUUAAAUUAAAAAACAGUUUAUUGUAAUAAAAGAUAUUUUGUAUUGAUGAUACUUCUGACAUCACCUAUUGUUUACUAUGCAUAUUGUUUGUAAUAUUAUGCCAUAUGUAUACACUGUACAUGUACUUGUUUAUACUGAUGAGCCGUAAGGCUCAAAGUUAAUAAAGAAUAAAAAAUAGAAUGCACAUAUUAUACACGAAUUUAUAGACCAAAAUUUAUUCAAUUUGUCAAUAAAUGAAAUCUGGUUUUAACUUCCAUUUUGAAUUAAGUGGGCUCAUAUAUUUAUGUCGACCAUCAAGGUCAAAUUGGAACUAAAUGUUUUCUGCAUUUGAAUUUCAAUGUAUUUAUGUUAAAAUAUUUUGUAAACUUAUAUGAAAUUAGAGUUAAUAUCAGAAGUUUUCAAUCAAGGAAAAAAUGCUUUCAAGGCAUAUUCUUGUAUCAUAAGAGCUCAAUCUCACAACGAAAUAUUGGAGAGCGCUAGUCUGAGGCAAUGUCCUUUAGUAAACAGUUAACAAAAUAAAACACAUGGUUAUACAAAUUUGUUAUGUAGAUGAUACAAUUCAUCACAUUAACAAGGUCCCAUCAUUGUGAAUACUAGUUUCAUGAUUUUUCAUUCAAGCCUUACAUUUCCUAUUUGCAUCCUGUCUAUCAAAAACUAUUAUCACAUAUAUAUAUAUAUAUAAAUUUGUAAUCAGCAAGUAAUUAUGUAAAUGUAAUCUUAAAAUAAUCUAAAAAGUAUCAUGAUUACACCUGUUUUUGGCAAUGUAAUCGAUUACAUUACAAUAACUUGUAAUCAGAAAUGGCAUGAAUACUGAUUACAUAGGAUUACACUGCAAAAUGUAAUCGAGUACAGCUGAUUACGAUUACUGAUUACGAUUACCCAAUGCCUGUAUCAGACCAUAAACAUAAAUUAGUCAUGUGACCGUGACGUCAUCAACGUUUUUUCAUGGUUUUCUACGGUUAUUCAGUGAGCACCAAAUAUUUUAUGUUAUUACUUCAUAGAAAGAAAAAAUAUUACAGUCAUUCCUUAAAUGUACAAGAAAAUACACCACAAUGAUGAUUAUGACCAAGUUUGGUGUAAAUUGAGACGAAAAACGGAUCGAAAAACCUAAGACUAAAUUAUCAACUGUUUAUCAGUUUACCGAGUGUCCUAAUGCACCAUAUAGUGGCAUCAGUAUAUCUGUUAUAUUCCGAUCCCUAAACCAUCUUGAUACUUUUGUAAGGACCUUUUGAUUUUCUGAAAGUAUUUGAUUUGAUGAUACAUUUCUCUACCAAUUUAUUUUUUUCGAAGGGAAUAUUGAAACAAUAAUUGUUUUUAAAUACUUAAAAAAUUAUUCUAAUCGACGCCCUUAUAGUCUGUGGUAUUGGCCGACAUUUUGUCCUUUUUCAUAUAAAACAAUUAAACAAAACGAAUAGAUUUAUUCAUCAAACGGUGAAAAUAUCAAAUAGCACAAGCCCUACAAAAAAUCGAAGAGUAACUAGGUUGACACGAUAUUAUAAGUUAAUAUUGCACCACUUGUGGCACCAGUCGUGUUGGUCAUUCAAUUUAAUUCCUGCCGAUAUUUUUUUCUUUGCGGAUGUCGCAAUUGAGGAUAGGAGGAUGGAAUUGAUAUUGAAAGUGAAAUAUAUCCAUUGUCAUCUGUGAAUUGGAUAUUCUAUAACAUUCAACUCCUGAUAGCGUUUGUCAAGCUUUUGCAAUGCUAUUUUGUAACUCAAUGUUAAAUCAUUCAGGGUUAUAUAUGGUUUAUAUACCAGCUUUGAUAAGUGUUUGGUAAACUUUAAAUUUUCUUUCGUCGAACUAUGAACAUAAAAAUAAAUUAUUUUUUGAAAAUAUUUCUUUCUCCUGUAAGACUGUGUACCCAAUGACAAAAAUAUUUCCAUUUACCUAUGUAUACCAUUAUUGCAAAUGGCCACUUUUGGUUUAAGUUUUUUUUUUUUUUUUCUGAAAUUGGUUAACAUUUCAUAGCUGUAUUGUACUGUUACUUUAAUUAUUUAUUCAGUAUUUUAUUUUAUUGAUUUUGUAUUUUCAUUGUAUCAUAGAUCAACUAUAUUCGUUCAGAGUUUUUUCAUUAGUAUUAAUAUGUCUUUUGAUUGAGUUGACGAAUUUUAAUUGAUAUUUUAUAGUGUGUCUUUUUAUAUUUUAAUGUUACACUAUUGUUUUAGAUAUGGUUGAAUGUUCGGUUCCAUUAAAAAAGUUUGAAGCCGCUUCAAUUGUUUGCACCUGUCCUAAAUCAGGAAUCUAAUAUUUAGUUGUUUUCGUUUGUUGAUGUGGUUGUGAAGAGUUUCUCGUAUCUAGGUUUUUACAUAUAAGAAUGUUUGUAUUUGAAUGGUUUUACACUAGUAAAAAAGGGGCCCUUUAUAUCUUGCUGUGCUCAACGAUCAAAUGCUCUGUGUUGGAGACCGUCCUUUGACCUAUAAUGGUUUUACUUUUGUUUAUUGAAACUUGGACGGAGAGUUGUCUUAUUGGUACUCAUUUCACAUGUUCUUAUAUUUAUAUGAUACAGUUAUAAAUACAUAUUGCAAUAUCCAAAAUCAAGUAUGUGCUUUUUUUAUUAAAACUAACAUGAUGUUUUAAAAAUAUUCGCUUCAAAAUAACAAGCUUUUAAAAAGACUGUUAUCACUUGAUGGUAUGUAACUAAGGGACGACAUCAAAAAUUCAAUGUAGGAUAAAAUGUUAAUUCAUAUAGUUUUUUCACUGACCCCUCCCCACGCCUUCUUAACUUUAUUUGGGAAAAAAUUAUUGACCAAUAAGGAUAUAUAUAAAAAUAUGAUGUCAAUUUAACAAACUUGCAGCAAUUUCCCCCCCCUCCCCCCAAACUAUUUGAAUUAAGUAUUUUAUCCUUCAUUGAUUUGUUGAUGUUGUCCCUAAAGUAACGAAAAAAACCUGAAAAAAAUGAAGGGUUCGUGUGCUUGUUUUUGAAAUAUAAACCAUAAAAACACAAAUAACAAGGAUUUUACAAGGUUUUUUUUAAAUAUGUCUCUAUGGUACACUAUAGUGAAAAGAAAACUUAGAAUUGCCGAAAUUUUGAAUGACGAAAUUGAUUCACCAUGGCUUAAAAAAAAGACAAACAGAAAUAUAAUAGAACACAACACACUGCAGGGAAAACUAGAUUAAGCAACACAAAACCCACCAAAAACUGGGUGUGAGCUCAGGUGCUCCGGAAAGCCAUGAACUCAACAGUUUUCAACAAUAAAAAAGUGUAUAUAUAUAUAUGUAACAUAGCUCAACAUGCAGACUUUUUAUACGUUCAUGUAUUUCACAUCCAAUUUUUUAAGGAAACAUUCUUUAUAAAGCAAAAAAAUGUCAGUAUUUACCUCUGAAAGAAAUAAAAUUUUUAAAUAAACUUAUUACGAAGGGAUAUAGUAACGAUACUGUUGGCAGGUCAUUAAAGAUUGCAUAUUUUGGCGUUAAUAUUGAUUCACUUAUAGGGUCUUUGCAUCGGAACUAAACACCUUUAUUAUAAAAACAGUUGUUGGCAUGGCACGGGUUAUACAAAAAAGAAGAUGUGGUAUGAUUACCAAUGAGACAACUAUCCACAAAAGACCAAAAUGACACAAACAUUAACAAUUAUAGGUCACCAUACGGCCUUCAACAAUGAUCAAAGCCCAUACCGCAUAUAGUCAGCCCCGAUAAGACAAUGUAAAACAAUUCAAACGAGAAAACUAACGGCCUUAUUAUAUUCUUCUCAUAUAUGUUAUAAUGGUAUAAUACUUAACCACUGACGGGAAGGAUUGUGCCUGAUAUUCAUAUGAUGAAAUCAUUAUCUUUUAAUCAGUUUAAUUGAGGUCUGGAUCUGGCAUAUCAGUUAACUGUUGUUAUUUAUGUAACAUUUUCAUUUUGUUUACUUUCUUUGGUUACAUCUUCUGACAUCAGACUCGGACUUCUCUUGAACUGUAUUUUAAUGUGCGUAUUGUUAUGCGUUUACUUUUCUACAUUGGCUAGAGGUAAAGGGGAAGGGUUGAGAUCUCAUAAAAAUGAUUAACCCCGCCGCAUUUUUACGCCAGUCCCAGGUUAGGAGCCUCUAGACUUUGUUAGUCUAUUAUUAUUUAAAUUUGAGUUUCUUGUGUACAAUUUGGAAAAAAGUAUGGCGUUCAUUAUCACUGAACUAGUAAAUAUUUGUUUAUGCGCCAGCUGAAGGACGCCUCCGGGUGCAGGAAUUUCUCGCUACAUUUAAGACCUGUUCGUGACCUUCUGCUGUUGUUUUUCUAUGGUCGGGUUGUUAUCUCUUUGACACAUUCCCAAUGUCCAUUCUCAAUUUUAAUAGUCAAUCUGGAUAUACAGGGAUAAUCUAUGAAUUACAUGUCUCGUGUAGUAUACAAAGAACUAAUUGUAAAAUGCUCUAGGGUUUGACCAUUAAUUUUAAAAUUGAAAUUUACUUACAAGAUGCAUUUAAGAUAAUAGUAGUAAGCAGAUGUUUUACCUCCAAUUAUCCUUUUUGUAAAAUUUUAUUCGGUUUAGAAGUACGAAUUAUGUCUACAAAUAUAUGGUAUAAAUCGUAGUGUUGUCAUUUAAGCGAAAUAUAUUUUUUAAACAUCUCAAAAAGCGGGAAGUUUUGCUAGCCAUUAAACCAAGGGCUCAACCCACUAUUUCUUUAAAUGUCCUGUACCAAGUCAGGAAUAUGGCAGAUGGAAUUUAAUAGUUGGUGUAUAUAAAUAUAGGACUUCGAUGUUCAUGUUGUUUCUUUGUUUUCCUCUAAUACAUGUAGUUGAUGUAUUUCCCUCUGUUUUGGCUUUUAACCCGAAUUUGUUUUCUCUCAAUUGCUUUGUUACUUUUGAAAAUCGGUGUACUACUGGUAUAUAUAUGUCUCAGGCCGAAAUCGACAUCACUAACACGAUAACAAUGUUAUAUUUGUUAUUCUCGUGGGAUUUUUUCUGAUGCUUGGUCUGUUUCUGUGUGUGUUUCAUUUCAAUGUUGUGUCGUUGUUCUCCUCUUAUAUUUAAUGCGUUUUCCUCGGUUUUAGUUUGUUACCCCGAUUUUGUUUUUUGUCCAUGGAUUUAUGAGUUUUGAACAGCGGUAUACUACUGUUGCCUUUAUUACUCAUAGUUGAAAGCUGUACGGUGACCUAAAGUUGAUAAUUUAUGUGUCAUUUUUGUCUCUUGUGGAGAGUUGUCUCAUUUCGAAUUAUACAACAUCUUCUUUUUCAUAUUUUCUCAGAAUUAUCAAAAUAACGUAUUGAAUAAAACAUCUGACACUCUUCCAUUUGUAUAUAGAGUAAUUACUUUUUAUAUACGUAAAGCUAAGUUCAUUGUCGGAAGAUUCGUUUUCUUGACCAAAUGUCAGUUUGGUUUAAGUGUUGCAAAUAUAGCGAAAAAUACAUUACAAGUAUCUCCGUAAUCUACGUAGCAAAAUGUUAAUACGCAAGGGCGCAACGUUGAAACCGUUACUUACAAUGAGAUUAACUUUCCCGCAGAAUAUUUUUCGAAUGUGAAAUGCAAAUUUACUUAAAUAACAUAAUUGGAAGAUUUUUGUUAUUAAUUUACUAACAAUUAGCAAACUAUGAUAUCCAAUUCAACAACCAUUUACAUAAUUUGAUAUUAUAGAAGAAAGUAAAAUCACAAAAUAAAACUGAACUCCGAUUAUAACUUUAAUCGGAAAGUCGCUUAUCAAAUUGCAAAAUCAAAAGAAAAAACACAUCAAACGAAUAUUCCUUUCAUGUAUCUAUAGCACUUAGACUGACUUUCAUACAUUCAAUUUAGUUUACAUAUUUGUUAGGUGAUUGAUCGUUAGCAAAUUACUAAUUUGAAUUGCUAAUUUUCACAAACAAAGACAUUAUAAGCAUAAUGUAAAAAUUUAAGUGAUCAUAUUUUGUUAAAUCUGUGACGUCCUAAAUAGUGAUAUUGGACAAACGACAACAAAAGGCCGCACUAAAAUAAUUUUACGAUAACAAAAAAAAAAAAGAAAUAUGAAGAUUUCUUUGGAAUGACUUGCGAGUAUCUGAUAUCACUUGCCACAAAAAACAGAUGAUCAUUUGGGAUAUAAAAAAUCGGGUUAAUAUCAAAUGAUAACUUAUUUUCUUUCGGUUGAGAACAAAAAUGUUUAUUAUUUCAUUUGAUAUCAUACCUUGUCCUAGCUUGAUAUGUCAACCAAAAAUGUCAAACAUCAUGAAAAUAAAUUAAAUGUUACUCUGCAUUUUUAUUUUAGGUAUAAAAUGGGAGCGAUGGUAUUGAAAAUGCGACACUUUAAUCAAAUGAGCUUAUCAAAGACAGGUGUGUAUUUUUAAGCUCCAAACUAUGAGUAUGUCCAUCAUUUAAUUCUUUUAUGUUUGAAUUUUGUUACGGUCAUAUAUAUCAACACUAAUGUAACGAUGAAAAAAAAGCAAUUCCAAUAUAUUUAUGUUUUAUUUUGCUAGCACGUUUUGUUAUUUUUAAUUGGCACAACAAUAUGUUUAAUAAAGAACGGAAUUUCUGUGGAUAGCUCCAUUUUUAUUUAAACAAACGCCUACAAAUGUAAUAUCAAUGUUUUAAUCAUGAAACAACUUCUCCAAAACCAUAAACAAAACAAAAUUGAACAUCGUCGAAGUUCUCUACGUAACCUCUUUCUAAUACUUUCUAAAUUAUUAAAAUUAAUAUUAUCAGCAAUAAUUGCCGUGCUUCAAAGUUAUUGUGAAACUGCAUUUUCUAGAGGUGACGUUAAUAAGAUGUAUUUACUAACAAAUAAAAUAUCUCACAUAAAAUCUAAGACUAUUUUAUUGUGCAAUAAUAUUAACAGAAUUUAAUUUUCUACACUUUACACAAGUAUUCACUAAAAAGUUAAAAUGGUGGUCCUGCUUUGUUUCAUCACAAAGAAAUGACAAAGACAGAUAUCUUGGUUUAUUCUCAUAGGAUUGUUUAGUCCUUUUCUGUGUGUGUUACAUUUUAAUGUUGUGUCGUUGUUCUCCUCUUAUAUUUAAUGCGUUUCCCUCAAUUUUAGUUUGUUACCCCGAUUUUGUUUUUUUUCCAUGGAUUAAUGAGUUUUGAACAGCGGUAUACUACUGUUGCCUUUAUUGUGAGAGGGAUGAAUUAUAAUUUGUAAAGACUUACUCUGAUUGUAACAAAAACAAAUCUGGAACUGACAUUAUCUGGAUCUUUGAUUUUUUUAUUACUUUUUGUAAAGUGUGAAGGUCGUGUUAUUUAACAAAUAAUCAGCAUUCCCAUUGGAAUCAGCUUUACUCACGUUUUUACAGUGUUUAUGUAUCUCAACAUGUUCGAUUCGCUCGAGUAUAUUACAACUGAUUUGAUUUUAGCGUAAGAAACUUCUGUUUUACUGAAAAAUUAUUAUACCAGAGUUUUCGAUAUUAAAAACUAGUCACAACAUUUACUAAUUGUUGACAUCGUACAAAGACAUUUUUCGUAAAUAUAAAAUAAUAUGCAGACAUCUAAUAAGUUCAUGUAUAUCACAUAGAUUCUUUUAUGGCAAUUUUCGUUACAAAGUACACAAAUAUAGAAGGGAUAUUUUAAAUGGAAUAUUUUGGUAUUAAUAUUGAUUCAAUCUUAAAAAGUGUUUGUACCGAAAAUAAACACAUUAAUGGUAGAAAAAUCAUGAUCAGCAUGUUACAGGUUAUGUUGUUCACAUAUAUUUUAUCAUGGUAUGAUAUCAAAUCACUAACGGCAGGGAUUGUACUUGAUUUUCAUAUGAUGAAGCAAUAAUCUAUCAAUCAGUUUCAUUGAGGUCUGGAGCUAGCAUGUCAGUAACUGCUAGUAGUCUCUUGGUAAUUUUAUGUAUCAUUGUCAUUUUAAUUAGUUUAUUUUGUUACCUAUUCUGACCUCGGACUCGGACUUCUUUUAAACUUAGGUUUUCUGUUCUUAUUGCUUGUAUUUAUCUAUUCUACAUUGACCUGAGGUUUAGUGGUAGGGUUGAGAUAUCACAAAACAUGGUUAACACCCUCUUUUUUUUACGCCUGAUCAAAGAUAGGUGCUUCUGGCUUUUGUUAGUUUUGUAAAUGUGUUUUUAUUUUUAUUUUAGUUCAUUGUAUGUUUUGGAGUUAGUAUUACGUUCACUUUAACUGAACAGUACACAUUUUUUUCCAUUUAGGGCGGUGUUUUCACGCUGCGAUGAAAACAAAUUGGGGGACUUCGAUUGUUAUCUGCGAUUGUUGUGUCUGGACAUAUCCCCAUUUUUAUUUUCAAUUUUAUAACCAUAAUUGUGAUUUAUUUGCGAGCGGGAUCGAAAUUCUGUUUUAAUCCCAUUUAGGAUGAUAUAGUUCUUGGUAAUGUUUAACUAAAAACAAAUAACAUGUUGACUUUGUUUAGUUUCAGAAGAAAUUAGGCCUUUCAAAAAGACAUACUCGGUAGUUCAGUAUGUCAGUACAGUCAUUGGCGCUUGUAUGGUUACGGGCAUAUAUAUGAUGACAAUUUGUAAAGAGUUCAAUCGACGGCCAUCAAAGGCACAAAACAUUCGCAAACUGGAAAGGUAUAACAUCGCAGUACACGGCCAAUAAGUUAGGAUCCCAGCAUGGAAGUAAAGUCCAUAUUUUAACAACGUAGUAAUGUAAAGGUUAAGGUAAUUGAGAUAUACAGAGUUAAAUUUCUUUGGAAAAAGAAAUCAAGUAACAGUUUUGUUUUCUAUUUAUAAUUUGAAGUAUUGAAUCUGUUAUAGAUAAUACAUAUUUCAAGGUUCUUCGUUAGCUAAAAAAACCGAGGGAUUUUCUGGAUUUGUUAAAUAAAAGAAAAACCUUUAAAUGUUCAUUAUCUGACUUAUAUACCGUCAAUAAAUACUAUUUUCUAUAAAGGAUUGCACUAUUAUUUACAUCCAAUUUUUGUGAUGUUUUCAUGAUUUGAUAUGGUCUACGACUCAUUUAUCAUUUAUGAUCAAGGUCACUUACCAAACUAAAAUAUAGAAGUUAUAAAUCAUUUUUCAGGUUGAAAAGAAAUAUUACUAUACAUUAACUGCAUGAAUCAAGACACAAAUGAAACACUUUUUAAGAAAUGUUUUGUAUCAACUUAAGUUAUGAAAGAUGCAUGUUUUUUGUUUCUUUUCCUGACAUUUUUAUCGGGGAAAAGCAGAUUUUUUUUCAACAAGAUUGUUAACGAAAAAUUCAGAUUAAUUGUUUCUCUCUCUUGUCUGGCAAUACAAUUUUGUCUAUAUAUAUAACUCAGAAUUAAGUUACAUUCCCACCUUAAUUUAAAGUACGUGGCUGUUCUACUAUAUAAAAUAAGAAUAUUGGAUCAUAAGAUAAUUAAUUUGAGUAAAAGGUAUUAACACAUUUAAUAAAAAAUAAAACUGGCACGAAGAGAGUAAAAUUUGGAAUACAUGUGUAGUAACAACGAAAAACGAUUAUCCAUAGGUCAAAGUAGGAUUCUAACAUUAUUUUUUGUGGAACUUAAAAUGUCCGUCAACGAUGAUGAUUGGUAUUUCAGUCAAUUACUCGAAUUCAAUGAUUGUUUCUGCCAAAUAUCAAAAUCCCUAUCGAAGUUGGUCGAUGAAAAAAUACACCAAGAGAAAAUCGUAUAAUUAUGCUGCUACUGCGAUUCAAAUACCAUUAGUGACGAAUAUCAUUAUUUUUUUGUAUGUUCCAAUAAACAAAUUGUGUUUUAAAGAGAAAGGUAUAUUCCUACAUAUUACAUAAAAAUUCCUUCCCAAUUGAAAUGUAUCGGUCUAUUAUCACACUGUAACGUGCCAGUGCAAACAAAAGUGUGCAUCUUUCUAAGACAUAUGGAAAAAAAUCAUAAU
rnacentral:lncRNA from 1 species